AGCUAGGUGGCUUGUAACAUAAAAUAACAUAAGAAUGGCCAUAUUGGAUUAGACCAAAGGUCCAUCCAGCCCAGUAUCCUGCCUUCCGACAGUGGCCAGAUGCCCCAGAGGGAGUGAACUGAACAGUGUCAUGGGUUUCUGACUGAACAACUUAACCCAGUUGUGGGAGCUACCCCUCCUCUGGCUCAAUGAUGUCCCUUCUUGAGUCUUCCCCAAAGGACAAGGAAGGACAGGGGAUGAUACUGAGAAAAUAGGGGCAAGGGUUUCAGGAAGAAGGCUGCCUUUCUCUUUCGGUUUCUAUUAUCACAAGAUUUGUUUUCUUCGCUGCCUUCUUUGUUCACUUGGACAUGAAGCAACAGCGUUAGAGUUUGAGUUGAAUCCUAUGACCCAGGACGUUCGUACAAGUUUCAAAGUCUGAUGUAGUUUCUACUUCAGUUCAUUGGUCCUUGAAACUCUUCUUGAACAAGGAAGCAGGAGUUGUUGAUGCAAGAACUCGAACAGACUCUUAAAGCUCUAUGAGAUAGGUAUUUCUCCAAACUCCUGCUGUGGAGAUGGCACCAAGCUUGACUUAAGGUAGGUUGACUUCAGAUAUGUACCAUAGCUGAAGUUGUGUACCUUCAUCCGACCUUCUCCCCACAGUGUAGACCUGU